AACAAUAUUUAUAAAUUUAGGCUACAAACGAGAAAAAAGUUUUUCAACCAAACUCUCAAAUAUUGUACUGAAAGAAGUGAAGUAUUCUGUAUUUAACGGCACACGAGUAUAAAGAAGUUGUGCGUCGUAUAGUUCUGAGCGGAUAGGAAAUUUGCUGGAUUGUUGCAUAUGUGCAUAAAACGUAAAUAUUCAUUACUAACGAAAAACAACAAGUAAUGAAGAGGAUUACUCUAAACUGUGUGCAUUUAUAUUUACACUUCCAACUGAGCGCGUGACCGGAGACCUUUUUUCAGCGCACCACUGCAACGGUCUUGGCACAGGCACAUAUGGUGCCAGUCUGUUUUAGGUUCCAAUUCCUCGCCCCCACCGGAGUGUAGCAGAUAGACGGCACCGCCAGAGCAUAAAAAAUACAGUGAGACUAUGAGCUAAAUUUAUUAAGGCAACUCAUUUCCGAACAACUAUUUCAUCUGCGGCAUGAGGCAAAAAUCCACAGACACAGACUCAUGACAAUCGGAAAGACUGUUGAUGCUGAUCACUUUGGCCUGUCCCUGGCCUCAAGUGCAUGCGGCUUCUCCUCUUCACUUCAGAUGCAACUGUUACUGCAAGUGUAUGCAUGCAUAUGCAUAACUUUACGAUAUUUUUUUUGCUAUUUUUAGUUCUUUAUCCAGCUGAGCAAACGGCCUGACAAUAUGUUUUUAAUUUGCGAUACGAAAAUGCAUUUUCCGCACUAUUUUUGCAAACUGCAAAAAA